CGCCGGACCUGGCCAAUUAUUCUCGGAACAUCAAGGAACGGGUCCCUUUGGUCAUCGGUUCAGUGUGUUUAGUAGACCCUGGCUCGACAUGAAGGGCGAGUUGGCAAUCCUGGAAGUAUAAAAGAACCAAAAACUCGUUGAGUCAUACUUUGGAUGUAGCUCCUAUUUGGAUGAGGUCAAUUGAGCCGUGAAGGAGCUCAAAUUUGAAGUGAAUCAUCGAGUUACAACAUUUUUCAAGAGCUCUCAACGAACUGACGAAGCCGCACUCUUACAUUGCGUAUCAAUAGAGAUAGGGUCAGAAUCAGCUUCUCACUCAAACCCAAUCAGGUUGGAAUCAAUUGCGAUUACCAGGACUCCUAUUCGCGAGAUUCGUUCGACACUGAGGCUUUACAACUGUCCUUUGAGACUUUCUAGGUUUCUUCAUCGUCUUUGGGUGGCGCCUGCUGAGCUCCUCUCAUCUUGGUCCAGAUUUCGAUGGCAAGUUCUUCAGGGUCUUAAACUUGGCCAUGGGAUUGCCAAGAUUUAACCCAACGAAUGACACAAAGAGGGAAAGAGAGGAAUGAAACUAGUCAACCAAACCAGCGCAGAGAGCCAACCAUACAACCGACCAACUGACCAAGAUCCAAGAGAUUGCUACCAUAGAGAGUUAAAAACUCACUCGAUCCCCAUAGAAAAAAGAGGAUCUCUUCUUUUCCUUGACGCUGCAAAAUCAAAGCCCUUCGAGUUCAUUCGACCGUGGUCGUAGGAUCCAUUUCCCAAAGAACUGGACGCUCUGUCUGUAGUAAAGUGUCAAGCUGCCAUCUGGCUCACACGACGAUGACCGUUGUCAUCCAACUUGGCUAUUACAGAGCCAAUUAACGUCUGAAACUCGUCUUAGGUUCAUGCGUCAUCACUCGACGAAUGGUCAAACUAACCAACCUACCAACCAACCAAACCUCCAACUAAAUGUUGGGCUGCCAAGGAAAAUCGUUUUCAAGCACUCAGAAGGUCCAAUCUAAAAUCUGAACCGAAGGCAUAAACCUUCCGGAGCCAUUUGCUCGUUGAAAUCCUUUGAAGUUUUGAAUAGAAAUCUUCAGUUGAUAGGACUCAAUCAUUCUUAAACUUGUCACCUCUCUCAUUGAGCCCUGAUCCCAAAUGGGUGAACCAAGUUCAACCAGAUUGCAGGAGGAAGCGUUUGAAUAAUCAUUAAACGUCCCUCUGAGGCUCGUCAUGAAUCUUUUCCCUUUAUCUGCCCUCGUUUCAAACUUGAACAAAACCAAUCCACAGGAAAGGGAGCUUGGCGUGUUAGGAGGUCUUUAAGCUUUUAAUUGACCCGAAUGAGCAUUAGUUGGACCGAGUACAUGGCAGUAAGAAGUAAAAGCAGAAGAAGUUGCAAACAGUAGUGGUAUUAGCUUCAAAGGUUGUUGCUUCCAUCCAAUUGUGAUCAUGACCCAUUUUGUUCACUUCUCCAUUGUGGCGUUGUUCUGAACAAUAAAACCUCAUUCAACCAGGAGCGAC